AUGUCGUCACUCAUCGGCGCCCGACGCAUUUGCAUCAUCAUGCUGCGACGAGCUGAUAGGCAAAGAGGAAGGACUGGUCGAGUCCAGGCUCUCGGCCGCGCGGCACGCUGGGAAACGUAGUUUAACAACGGAACGCGGAUUCUCGGAAAGGAAGAGGGACGGGGAAGGAGAUCUCCGGGGCGCCGCAGAGGCACAAAGCCAAGGGACACACGGGGCUGGAAUUCUGGUUCUGCCACCCAACCUAUUUGACCUUGGAUGAAUCAAAACCGUCUGAGCCUUAGCUUCCUCCUCCAUAAAAUGGGAGCUUUAAAAUCCACCUUAUAAAGCUGUUGUGAGGAGCAGACGUGAUCAUCUAUGGAGAGCAUGUAUAUUUGCUAAUAGACGAAAAAUGCGAUGAAUGAUUACAAUUAUAACCCAUGCAGUCAGCUAACAUUAGGGGCACUCCUUGCCAUUUCCUGUUGCUACCAUACUUUAUUAUUUUAAAGUGUAUUCCUGGUCAGGCAUGUGGCUCACACCUGUAAUCUCAGCACUUUGGGAAGCCAAGGCAGGAGGAUCACUUGAGGCCAGGAGAUUGAAACCAGCCUGGGCAACAUAACGAGACCCCUUCUCUACAAAGAAAUGAAAAAAUUAGUUGAGCUUAGUGGUGUGCACCUGUAGUCCCAGCUACUAGGGAGGCUGAGGCAGGAGGAUCACUUGAGCCCAGGAGUCUAAGGCUGCAGCAAGCUAUGAUCUCACCACUGCAGUCCAGCCUAGGUAACAGAGUGAGACCCCAUCUCUAAAGAAAAAAAUAAAGAAAAUGAAGCUCUUGGGUUUA